ensembl:snRNA U2 U2 spliceosomal RNA
AUCGCUUCUCGGCCUUUUGGCUAAGAUCAAGUGUAGUAUCUGUUCUUAUCAGUUUAAUAUCUGAUACGCCCGAUUCGGGGCAACGAUAAACGCAUUUUAGAACAGGGAGCUGAAUAAGGGGCUCGCUCCGUUCGCUCCACGCAUCGAUCGACCGGUAUUGCAGCGCCCGGGAACGGUGCCCCUUUG